rnacentral:rRNA from 1 species
UACGAAGGGGGCUAGCGUUGUUCGGAAUUACUGGGCGUAAAGCGCGCGCAGGCGGUCUUCCAAGUCGGUGGUGAAAGCCCGGAGCUCAACUCCGGAACUGCCAUUGAAACUGUUAGACUUGAGGACGAGAGAGGUGAGUGGAAUUCCCAGUGUAGAGGUGAAAUUCGUAGAUAUUGGGAAGAACACCGGUGGCGAAGGCGGCUCACUGGCUCGUAUCUGACGCUCAGGCGCGAUAGCGUGGGGAUCAAACAGG